AUAACAGUUGGAAACGGCUGCUAAUACCGCAUAAGCGCACAGUACCGCAUGGUACGGUGUGAAAAACUCCGGUGGUAUGAGAUGGACCCGCGUCUGAUUAGGUAGUUGGUGGGGUAACGGCCUACCAAGCCGACGAUCAGUAGCCGACCUGAGAGGGUGACCGGCCACAUUGGGACUGAGACACGGCCCAAACUCCUACGGGAGGCAGCAGUGGGGAAUAUUGCACAAUGGGGGAAACCCUGAUGCAGCGACGCCGCGUGAGCGAUGAAGUAUUUCGGUAUGUAAAGCUCUAUCAGCAGGGAAGAAGAUGACGGUACCUGACUAAGAAGCCCCGGCUAACUACGUGCCAGCAGCCGCGGUAAUACGUAGGGGGCAAGCGUUAUCCGGAUUUACUGGGUGUAAAGGGAGCGUAGACGGCAUGGCAAGCCAGAUGUGAAAGCCCGGGGCUCAACCCCGGGACUGCAUUUGGAACUGUCAGGCUAGAGUGUCGGAGAGGAAAGCGGAAUUCCUAGUGUAGCGGUGAAAUGCGUAGAUAUUAGGAGGAACACCAGUGGCGAAGGCGGCUUUCUGGACGAUGACUGACGUUGAGGCUCGAAAGCGUGGGGAGCAAACAGGAUUAGAUACCCUGGUAGUCCACGCUGUAAACGAUGAAUACUAGGUGUCGGGUGGCAAAGCCAUUCGGUGCCG
rnacentral:rRNA from 1 species